UGGGGAAUUUUGGACAAUGGGCGAAAGCCUGAUCCAGCAAUGCCGCGUGUGUGAAGAAGGCCUUCGGGUUGUAAAGCACUUUUGUCCGGAAAGAAAUCCUUGGCUCUAAUACAGUCGGGGGAUGACGGUACCGGAAGAAUAAGCACCGGCUAACUACGUGCCAGCAGCCGCGGUAAUACGUAGGGUGCAAGCGUUAAUCGGAAUUACUGGGCGUAAAGCGUGCGCAGGCGGUUUGCUAAGACCGAUGUGAAAUCCCCGGGCUCAACCUGGGAACUGCAUUGGUGACUGGCAGGCUAGAGUAUGGCAGAGGGGGGUAGAAUUCCACGUGUAGCAGUGAAAUGCGUAGAGAUGUGGAGGAAUACCGAUGGCGAAGGCAGCCCCCUGGGCCAAUACUGACGCUCAUGCACGAAAGCGUGGGGAGCAAACAGGAUUAGAUACCCUGGUAGUCCACGCCCUAAACGAUGUCAACUAGUUGUUGGGGAUUCAUUUCCUUAGUAACGUAGCUAACGCGUGAGGUUGACCGCCUGGGGAGUACGGUCGCAAGAUUAAACUCAAAUGAAUUGACGGGGUCAUAGCUGUUUCCU
rnacentral:rRNA from 1 species